AAAUUACCCAAUCCUAAUACAGGGAGGUAGUGACAAGAAAUAACAAAACAGGACUUUUUGGUUUUGUAAUUGGAAUGAGUUAAGUAUAAACCCCUUUACAAGUAUCAAUUGGAGGGCAAGUCUGGUGCCAGCAGCCGCGGUAAUUCCAGCUCCAAUAGCGUAUAUUAAAGUUGUUGCAGUUAAAAAGCUCGUAGUUGGAUUUCUGUUAAUAAUUUAUAUAAAAUAUUUUGAUGAAUAUUUAUAUAAUAUUAACAUAAUUCAUAUUACUAUAUAUUUUAGUAUAUGAAAUUUUACUUUGAGAAAAUUAGAGUGCUUAAAGCAGGCAUAUGCCUUGAAUACUCCAGCAUGGAAUAAUAUAAAAGAUUUUUAUCUUUUUUAUUGGUUCUAAGAUAAAAAUAAUGAUUAAUAGGG
rnacentral:rRNA from 1 species